ACGCGGCACGAGUGCCAUGUUGGUGUUGUCAUCCGGUGUUCAGCGUCUCCGACAGAGGGGGCUCAAUGAACUAAUCCCUCCUGGACACGCUGGCAUUGCACGGUUCACGCAGAACCGCACAUGAUGCUGAACUCGGAUAGCUCAUCGUCAGUUACUGUCUAACCUCUAGCGUGCGUUUUGUUUUAAAUCAACCUGCUCAGAAAUGUUUUUACACAGCCCGGAACAGGAUACAAGCACUGCUGGCUUGACCAGCAUCUAUUCCCAACCCUAAUUGGCCAGAUGAAAGUUAAGAGCCAAAGACAUUGCUGUGGGUUUGGGGUCACAAGUAGUCCAGACCAGGUGCUGCCAGGCCUUCUGAGUUUCUCUAGCACUUCGUAGUUUUGUUUCAGGUCUCCAGCACUUCAAUAUUUUGCAAUUAUUCAAACGUCCUACAGUACCUGGAUGGAGGAAUGUACGUCAGCGUGAAUAGAAUUAUUGUUUGUAUACCACUAGAAAUAUCUGUGCAGCAUACUGAAAAUGAUUAUAGAUAUAUAUUGUAAAGAAUCUGUAUUUCUGCGCCAGAAUGUUGAAAGCAAACAGCUUCUUUCUAGUGUAAUGAAUAAACAGAUCAGUCUUGUAAAAGUCAGCGAAGCAACUAAUGAAAUGAGAUAUUGCUUUUCAUGCAGUGUUUGUCACCUACAUGUCCAAUUUAUUUUUGUUGAGCGAUAAACAUUUCUGAAAUGGGACCAUGUACGUCAUUGCUUGAGGCAUAGUGACCAUAUGAAGUAAGAAAGUUGGCUUGUCACACGCACAUAAAUUAACACAAGUUGCACUAUCCUGGAAUCCAUCCAAUCAGCCCCAUCAACCAACUACUCGUGUGAACAUUCAAUCAGAUAAAGGCCCAUAAACGAAGCACUUGUGUUGCAAUAGAGAUGCAUAAAAAAGAGGGCACACCAUUUUUGGAUGCAAAUAUUAAACAUUUCAUAGAAUCGUAGAACACUGAUGGUGUUGACAGACCCAUUCAGCCCAUCGAGUUUGCACUAACCCUCUGAACAGCAUCCCACCCAGACCAACCCCCACACCUUAUCCCUGUAAUCCUGCAUUCCCAAUGACUAAUCCACCUAACCUACACAUUCCUAGAUGCUAUGGGCAAUUUACCCUGGCCAACCCACCAACCUGCACAACUUUGGACUGUGGGAAGAAACUGGAGCACCCAGAGGAACCCCACACAGAUAUGUCCAAACUCCACACAGACAGUCACCCAAUGCUGGAAUCAAACCUGUGUCCAUGUUGCUGUGAGGCAGCAGUGCUAAUCACUGUGCUAGCCCAAAAAUAAAAUAAAAUACUUGUGAAAUAAAAAGCAUGAGUAAGGACAUUUUUGAGAAAUUUCCUCCUGAAUAUUAAUACAUUAAAUGUUUCGCAUUUCUAUGGCCAGGUAGUGAAGGCAAUGAAUAGUUGAGAUAAACAAGCUAUGAUGUGCCAAAUUUUAUCUCUGAUCUGAGCUUCGAUGUCUAGUUUAUGUCAGACUGCAGAGCAACAGACAUAGAGUUAUAGAGUCAUAGAGAUGUACAGCACAGAAACAGACCCUUUGGUCCAAUUCAGUCAUGCCAAUCAGAUAUCCUAAAUAAAUCUAGUCCCAUUUGCCAGCAUUUUGACCAUAUUCUUCUAAACCCUUCCUAUUCCUAUACCUGAUGCCCAGAUGUCUUUUAAAUCUUGUAAUCAUACCAGCCACCAUCCUUUCUCUGGCAGCUCAUUCAAUACACACACCCCCCUCUGAAUGAAAAUGUCGACCCUUUUAUUAUCUUUCCUCUGUCACCUUAAACCUAUGCUCUCUAGUUCUGGACUUCCCCACCUUGGGAAUGAGGUUUUGCCUAUUUAUCGUAUCCAUGACCCUCAUGAUUUUAUCAACCUCUGGUAGGUCACCCCUCAUCCUCUGAUUCUCCAGGGAAUAUAGCCCCAGCCUAUUCAGCCUCUCCAGAUAGCUCAAACCCUCCAACCCUGGUAACAUACUUACAAAUCUUUACUGAAAAUUUUCCAAUUUCACUAUAUCCUCCUGUAGCAGGGAGAUCAGAAUUGUACACAGCAUCUCAAAAUUAGCCUAUCCAAAGUCCUGUACAGCCGCUACAUGACCCCUCAACUCCUGUACUCAGUAAAUGCAAACACCGAAUGCCUUCUUCACUAUCCUAUGUACCUGCAAAUCCACUUUCAAGGCACUGUGAACCUGCACUUCAAGGUCUCUCUGUUCAGCAGCCCUCUCCAGGACCUUACAGUUAAGUGUAUUAGUCCUGCCCUGAUUUGCCUUUCCAAAAUGCAGAAUCUCGCAUUUAUCUAAAUUAAACUCUGGUUGCUCCCGUUUCCUCCCACAGUCCAAAGAUAUGCAGGCUAGGUGGAUCGGCCAUGCUAAAUUGUUUGUAGUGUUUACGGGUGUGUGGGUUAUAGGGGGAUGGGUCUGGGUGGGAUGCUCCAAGGUGCGGUGUGGACUUGUUGGGCGGAAGGGCCUGUUUCCACACUGUAGGGAGUCUAAUAAACUCCUUCUGCCACCCAUUGGCCCAUCUGAUCAAGAUCCCAUUGUACUCUGAGGUAACCUUUGCUUGGAUAUAGCAAGAACUGCAGAUGCUGAAGUCAGAGUCAAUAUAGUGUGGAGCUGGAGGAACGCAGCAGGUCCGGCAGCAUCAUAGGAUUAGAAAAGUCGACAUUUUGGGUUUAUACCCUUCAUCAGGACUGAUGCUGCCUGACCUGCUAUGUUCCUCCAGCUCCACACUGCAUUAACCUUUGCUGUCCACUGCACCUCCAAUUUUAGUGUCAUCUGCAAACUUGCUAACUAUACCUCCAAUAAUCAUAUCCGACAUGCCACAGUUAAUUGCAGAACCCCAGGUUAGUGUGGAGGAAAAUCAAACAGGGUUUCUGCUCCUGAUUGUUAUCCAAUGAACUACUUAGUAAAUCAGCAAGUAUAGGUUUAGGCUUAGUUAUAAUGAUGCCAUUGCUUCCUCUGUGAAAAAAGCAUAGUUGCAGAAACAGCAGAGAAAUGUGGUGAAGACUGCAGCCUCAUCAACUAGAAAAGCUCUAGCUAUCCUUUUUUCGCCCCAUCUGAAAUAUUUGAGUAGAUUUACACCUUGUAGCUACAUUUAUGAUAUAACAACAAAGGCUAGAGACUCUUCUCUCUUUGUAGCCAAAGUAUUUGAUAAUGUAAAGGUAACUAUUUCUGCAGCAUCUAAAAUAGCCCAAUAGCUUUGAACAUUGCAGGAUGUUGUUUAAAAGUGUGCUUCAAAUUCAAUUGUACACUUUUUUCUUAGAACUUUCAUUUGUUUAUUUUAAAUAAAUUAAUAACUGUGUUAAAGUAUUGCU